rfam:Treponema socranskii subsp. socranskii VPI DR56BR1116 = ATCC 35536 strain VPI DR56BR1116 ctg120007787841, whole genome shotgun sequence.
GGAGCGAUGUCCGAGCGGUCGAUGGAGGUAGUCUUGAAAACUAUUGAGGAGCAAUCCUCCGGGGGUUCGAAUCCCUCUCGCUCCG